rnacentral:rRNA from 1 species
GAUGAACGCUGGCGGCGUGCCUAAUACAUGCAAGUCGAGCGAACAGACGAGGAGCUUGCUCCUCUGACGUUAGCGGCGGACGGGUGAGUAACACGUGGAUAACCUACCUAUAAGACUGGGAUAACUUCGGGAAACCGGAGCUAAUACCGGAUAAUAUAUUGAACCGCAUGGUUCAAUAGUGAAAGACGGUUUUGCUGUCACUUAUAGAUGGAUCCGCGCCGCAUUAGCUAGUUGGUAAGGUAACGGCUUACCAAGGCAACGAUGCGUAGCCGACCUGAGAGAGUGAUCGGCCACACGGGAUGUGAGACACGGUCCAGACUCCUACGGUAAGCAGCAGUAGGGAAUCUUCCGCAAUGGGCGAAAGCCUGACGGAGCAACGCCGCGUGAGUGAUGAAGGUCUUCGGAUCGUAAAGCUCUGUUAUUAGGGAAGAACAAAUGUGUAAGUAACUAUGCACGUCUUGACGGUACCUGAUCAGAAAGCCACGGCUAACUACGUG